AGGGAACAGGUGGUGUGAUCAGAUGUAGCCGCAGCAUGAGGAGUCAAUGACGAUGAUGAGAUGGCCUUGAAGAAACCAAAAACUCGAAGAAAGGCGUGGUUGUGGAGAGGGCUGCAACAGAUAAAGAAAAAAGAGGGAGCAGGUGGCAUGAUGAUGACAGAUGAUGAAGAUCUUGAUGGAUAAUGAUGUUGAUUAUUCGAGUACAAAAAGGGAUGAAAUAGAGAGGAGAUGCAGAUGGUGGAGUUCUGAAGCAAUGAGAGAAAUGCAAAGCAAGUGGAUUUUCAAUCUGAAGUCGAUUAGGUUUGGAUUUUAACUAUAAAAAGAAAGGCCUUUGGUAAGGGUAGAUCAUGGUGGAAGAGAGUGAGGAAGACAAGAAGAGAAGUCGACAGAGAGAAAGAAGGCUUUUGCUUCGGGCUUGAAGGGAGACGAGAAAAAAGAGGAGGGGACUUCAAGAGAAGAACAAAGAGUACGAGAGCUAGUUUGAGAAAAAACGAGGGGUUUAAGAGAAUCUGGUGUUGAAGGAGAGAGGUUUGAGAAAUCUAGAGGAAUCGAGAGCAAGAGAGACGAAAAUUGAAAAAGAAAAGGUCAGGGG
rnacentral:lncRNA from 1 species